GAAAUAUAAGAAACCGUCUAUUAACUUUUAAUUAAAAAAAUUAAGAAUCGGCUCUUAAAUAAUAUAUUUAAGAGCCGAUUCUUAGUUUUUUUUAGUUAAAAGUUAAUAAACGAUUUUUUAUAUUUC
rfam:Brassica oleracea var. oleracea cultivar TO1000 chromosome C7, whole genome shotgun sequence